rnacentral:rRNA from 1 species
ACUGCUCAGUAACACGUGGAUAACCUGCCCUUGGGUCCGGCAUAACCCCGGGAAACUGGGGAUAAUUCCGGAUAACGCACAUAUGCUGGAAUGCUUUAUGCGUCAAAUGGAUUCGUCUGCCCAAGGAUGGGUCUGCGGCCUAUCAGGUAGUAGUGGGUGUAAUGUACCUACUAGCCGACAACGGGUACGGGUUGUGAGAGCAAGAGCCCGGAGAUGGAUUCUGAGACAUGAAUCCAGGCCCUACGGGGCGCAGCAGGCGCGAAAACUUUACAAUGCGGGAAACCGUGAUAAGGGGACACCGAGUGUCAGCAUCAUAUGCUGGCUGUCCAGGUGUGUAAAAUACACCUGUUAGCAAGGGCCGGGCAAGACCGGUGCCAGCCGCCGCGGUAACACCGGCGGCCCGAGUGGUGAUCGUGAUUAUUGGGUCUAAAGGGUCCGUAGCCGGUUUGGUCAGUCCUCCGGGAAAUCUGAUAGCUCAACUAUUAGGCUAUCGGGGGAUACUGCCAGGCUUGGAACCGGGAGAGGUAAGAGGUACUACAGGGGUAGGAGUGAAAUCUUGUAAUCCCUGUGGGACCACCUGUGGCGAAGGCGUCUUACCAGAACGGGUUCGACGGUGAGGGACGAAAGCUGGGGGCACGAACCGGAUUAGAUACCCGGGUAGUCCCAGCCGUAAACGAUGCUCGCUAGGUGUCAGGCAUGGCGCGACCGUGUCUGGUGCCGCAGGGAAGCCGUGAAGCGAGCCACCUGGGAAGUACGGCCGCAAGGCUGAAACUUAAAGGAAUUGGCGGGGGAGCA